rnacentral:rRNA from 1 species
ACAUGCAGAGAACUUUCCAGAGAUGGAUUGGUGGCCUUCGGGAACGUCUGACACAGGUGCUGCAUGGCUGUCGUCAGCUCGUGUCGUGAGAUGUUGGGUUAAGUCCGUAACGAGCGCAACCCUUGUCCUUAGUUACCAGCACGUUAUGGUGGGCACUCUAAGGAGACUGCCGGUGACAAACCGGAGGAAGGUGGGGAUGACGUCGAGUCAUCAUGGCCCUUACGGCCUGGGCUACACACGUGCUACAAUGGUCGGUACAAAGGGUUGCCAAGCCGCGAGGUGGAGCUAAUCCCAUAAAACCGAUCGUAGUCCGGAUCGCAGUCUGCAACUCGACUGCGUGAAGUCGGAAUCGCUAGUAAUCGUGAAUCAGAAUGUCACGGUGAAUACGUUCCCGGGCCUU